AUUUUGACCAUAGACAAAGGAAUAUAUUUUGGUUUUCAGGAGAGAUAGAGUUCCUAGGUUGUGGUUAAUGAUCCAUGUACAUUUUGCAAAAGCAAAAUCUUUUAGCAUAAAGGCCCUUAAACCUCCAUAACCUAAAGUUGUGGGAAUGAGAAGUGCAAACUGCCUAAGUAAAUCACUGAUAAACAGGGCUAACACUACUCAUACCCUUAGUUUUCAGACGUGUAUAUUCUUCCUGUUGCCAACACAGAACCACAGUAAGAUCUUGAAUGCACAGUACAUUCUGCACCCUGAGGAAGUGCUUCAGAGGCAGGCAAGGAAAAAGCUGUGUCAAAGGAAUACAUUACCUGGAAAACAAAUCUAGGAGAUGUCCACCAGCAUUACACUAAAUGCAGAGGAGCACAGUUGUGCUGCUGAACUUUCCAGUUGUAGAAAACCACCCUGAACUGUGAGACCAGAAUUGGAGCUUCUCCUUAAAAGGUGUAAGGGUUACCUGUGUUCCUAAAGAGGACAUUUGCUAACUUACUAAGAAUCAGCUGGGACUGGCUCUAGAGGAAAAACAAAGUAAGGAUCAGGGCUCAAAUGGGAUGAACCAAGUAGCAUUUUAACAAUUAUGUAAAGAAAAUAAAAAUAAAGCCCCUGUCCAAGCUCCCCAGAGAUCUUUUGAAGGCAUAUGAAAAUAAUUGUGAAGACUUUACAUCAUGUGGGAGGCACAAGGUUCUCUAUCAAAAAUACUGCAAAACUGUUAUCUUAUUUAUAAUCAUUACACUGAGUACAUGAUAAUUAUAUCUUAGCUCUCUUGACCCUCGUAAUGUUUAUUUUCUUAAUUUAUCUAAUCACAAUGUUUUUAUUUUGCUUGAACUGUCA
rnacentral:lncRNA from 1 species